rnacentral:rRNA from 1 species
AGGGUUUGAUCCUGGCUCAGAACGAACGUUGGCGGCGUGGAUUAGGCAUGCAAGUCGGGGGAAUCCCAGCAAUGGGGGAACCGGCGUAAGGGGCAGUAAGGCGUGGGUACCUACCCUGGGGUUCGGGAUAGCCGUCUGAGAAGGCGGGUAAUACCGGAUGAUCUCGGGAGAGCAAAGAUUUAUCGCCCUGGGAGGGGCCCACGUGAUAUUAGCUAGUUGGUGAGGUAAUGGCUCACCAAGGCCGAGAUGUCUAGCGGGUGUGAGAGCACGACCCGCGCCACUGGCACUGAGACACUGGCCAGACACCUACGGGUGGCUGCAGUCGAGAAUCUUCGGCAAUGGGCGCAAGCCUGACCGAGCGACGCCGCGUGUGCGACGAAGGCCUUCGGGUUGUAAACUCCUGUCGAGGGGAAAGAAGGCCCCGCAAGGGGCUUGACUGAUCCCUGGAGGAAGCACGGGCUAAGUUCGUGCCAGCAGCCGCGGUAAGACGAACCGUGCGAACGUUGUUCGGAAUCACUGGGCUUAAAGGGUGCGUAGGCGGAAUGUCAAGUCUGUGGUGAAAUCCCCCGGCUCAACCGGGGAACUGCCGUGGAUACUGGUGUUCUCGAGGGGUGUAGGGGCAUGCGGAACUUCGGGUGGAGCGGUGAAAUGCGUAGAUAUCGGAAGGAACACCGGUGGCGAAAGCGGCGCGCUGGACCUCUUCUGACGCUGAGGCGCGAAAGCCAGGGGAGCGAACGGGAUUAGAUACCCCGGUAGUCCUAGCAGUAAACGGUGCACGUUUGGUGUGGGAGGAUUCGACCCCUUCCGUGCCGGAGCUAACGCGUUAAACGUGCCGCCUGGGAAGUACGGUCGCAAGAUUAAAA